rnacentral:rRNA from 1 species
AGUGAACGCUGGCGGCAGGCCUAACACAUGCAAGUCGAACGGCAGCACAGUAAGAGCUUGCUCUUACGGGUGGCGAGUGGCGGACGGGUGAGGAAUACACCGGAAUCUACUUUUUCGUGGGGGAUAACGUAGGGAAACUUACGCUAAUACCGCAUACGACCUACGGGUGAAAGCAGGGGAUCUUCGGACCUUGCGCGAUUGAAUGAGCCGAUGUCGGAUUAGCUAGUUGGCGGGGUAAAGGCCCACCAAGGCGACGAUCCGUAGCUGGUCUGAGAGGAUGAUCAGCCACACUGGAACUGAGACACGGUCCAGACUCCUACGGGAGGCAGCAGUGGGGAAUAUUGGACAAUGGGCGCAAGCCUGAUCCAGCCAUACCGCGUGGGUGAAGAAGGCCUUCGGGUUGUAAAGCCCUUUUGUUGGGAAAGAAAAGCAGCAGGUUAAUACCCCGCUGUUCUGACGGUACCCAAAGAAUAAGCACCGGCUAACUUCGUG